rnacentral:lncRNA from 1 species
CUGACAAAUGCUUCAUUCACUCUAGUGGCUGUGGCCCCCCAGGGCUGCCACAUGCCUGAAGCUGAGCCAUGGAGAGCCCGUCUCUGCAGCAGAACCCGCAGCAGUGGGCGCAGGGGAGCCAGUGACACUCAGACCUGGGGCCACGCAGGAAUGGGCCAAGCUAGCUCCCUCCAGCCCUUUUAUAAAGUUACUAGUCCCAUUCAUGAGGGCAGAACCCGCAGGGCCUACCACCUCCUAAAGGCCCCACCUCUUACUACUGCCGCACUGGGGAUGAAGUUUCAACGUGAAUUUUGGAGGAGACACAAACAUUCAAACCAUAACAGCAGCUUAGAAAAAAAUACUACAACUGGACCUCCGUGCUCAAGAGCCCAAGGCGCUUCUCAUAAGUAUUGUCAUAAUAAUGUCCAAUACUUGUGUAUCUCAUAAUGGUUUACAAAACCUUUUCACAUAGUCUCACUUAAUUUUCACAAAUACCUAAAAUAGAAAAUUACACUCCAAUUGAUUAUAUUUGUUAUCCAUUUCUGUGGGUCAGGAACAGGGAUGGGGUACAGCACAGAUGGCUCCACCCUGCUCCCUGAAGUCUGGGCUUCAGCAGGACGACAGGAAGCUUGGGGGCUGGACCCCCCCAAAGGCUCAUCCACCCACAGGCCUGGCGGGGGGUGAUAGCUGCCAGCUAGGACUGCAGCUGGGGCUGUCACUAGGAUGUUACACGUGGCAUCCCCCUGUGGUCAAGACUUCCUUACAACAUGGUGGCUGAGUUCCAAAGGUGAACGUUGGGAGAGACAUGGUGAGACAGAGAGACAGAGACAGAGGGUACGAGGCGGCACUGUGGUCAUGGGGAGGGAAAGAGAGAGUGCACGUGCCAGGCAGGGGUCCACACAUUUCGUGACCUAGAUUGGCAGUCCAUUGGUUGGGGCAGUAAGGAGCCCCUCAGUGGGAGGGGAGCCCCUCAGUGGGAGGGGCAUUGUGGGAGACCAUGUGGUAGCCAUCAUUGGAAAAUGCAACCUGUCACAUUCAUAAAUUAGGAAAAUAAAGCUUUUGAUGUUAAGUGACUUGCCAGGGUCACGCGGCUGAGACAUGUCAGGAUGAGACGGGAUUUCCGGCACCAGGACGACCGGUUGUCAGGCUAUUCCAUGUCCACCGGGCAUUGCGCCCUCUGAGAGUGGCUGUUGGCCUCCUUUGGGUUCACUGUCUAACCAUGGCAUCUGGUGGAUCCUUGCAGUCCAGCUGUCUGUUGCCAGUUGUGUUGGUCAUCUUGGGGCUGCCAUGACAAAGGACCAUAGACUGUGUGGGUCAACCCACAGGAACUGAUUUCUCACUGUUCUGGAGGCUGAAGUCUGGGAUCAGGCACCAGCAUGGCCACUUCCUGGUGAGGACUCCCUUCCUGGCUUGUAGAUAGCUGCUUUCUGAUUGUAUCCUCACAGGGGGAAGGUGGUGGGGUUGGGGAGACGGAGAGCUGUUGAGUCUUCUUAAGAGGGCACUGGUCCCAUGAGGAGGAUUCCACCUUAUGACCUCUUCUAAAUCUAAUUAUCUCCCAAUGGCCCCAUCUCCAGAUACCAUCACACUGGGGGUCAGGGCUUUCAGAGAUAUCAUCAAACCGGAGGCCAGGGCUUCCAAAGAUACUGUCACACCAAGGUCAGGGCUUCCACAGCUACCAUCACACUGGGGGUCAGGGCUUCCACAGGUACCAUCACACUGGGGGUCAGGGCUACCACAGAUACCAUCACACCGGGGCCAGGGCUUCCACAGAUACCAUCACACCGGGGUCAGGGCUUCCACAGAUACCUUCACACCGGGGUCAGGGCUUCCACAGGUACCAUCACACUGGGGGCCAGGGCUUCCACAGAUACCAUCACACAGGGGUCAGGGCUUCCACAGGUACCAUCACACAGGGGCCAGGGCUUCCACAGAUACCAUCACACAGGGGUCAGGGCUUCCACAGAUACCUUCACACCGGGGUCAGGGCUUCCACAGGUACCAUCACACUGGGGGCCAGGGCUUCCACAGAUACCAUCACACUGGG